rnacentral:lncRNA from 1 species
AUGGAUUGCACAUGCUUGGAGCUAAGAAGAUGGACGAAAUUGAAGAUCAAAUGAGCGUAGGAUUGAAUGAAGAUGUGAAGAAUUGGAUUCAAGACAAAUAAAGAAUGAAGAGUUCAAAAUUGGAAGCCAAAGUUUCUAAAGUUGGAAGUUUCUAUUCUUGGAGGUUUCCAUUCUUGAUGGUUUCCAUCUUUGGCUCUAAACUUUCCUAAUCCUAAUUCACCUAUGUUCCAGCUGCAAGGAGGCUUCCUAAAU